CCAGACUCCUACGGGAGGCAGCAGUGAGGAAUAUUGGUCAAUGGGCGAGAGCCUGAACCAGCCAAGUCGCGUGAGGGAAGACGGUCCUAUGGAUUGUAAACCUCUUUUGUCGGGGAGCAAAAAGGCCUCGUGAGGCCACAAGUGAGAGUACCCGAAGAAAAAGCAUCGGCUAACUCCGUGCCAGCAGCCGCGGUAAUACGGAGGAUGCGAGCGUUAUCCGGAUUUAUUGGGUUUAAAGGGUGCGUAGGCGGACUGGAAAGUCAGCGGUAAAAUCGAGAGGCUCAACCUCUUUCCGCCGUUGAAACUGUCGGUCUUGAGUGGGCGAGAAGUAUGCGGAAUGCGUGGUGUAGCGGUGAAAUGCAUAGAUAUCGGGAGGAACACCAGUGGCGAAGGCGGCCUACUGGGCACUAACUGACGCUGAGGCUCGAAAGCAUGGGUAGCAAACAGGAUUAGAUACCCCGGUAUUA
rnacentral:rRNA from 1 species